UGGGGAAUUUUGCACAAUGGGGGAAACCCUGAUGCAGCGACGCCGCGUGAUUUAGAAGGCCUUCGGGUUGUAAAAAUCUUUUCUAUGGGAAGAAAAUGACAGUACCAUAGGAAUAAGGAACGGCUAAUUACGUGCCAGCAGCCGCGGUAAUACGUAAGGUCCGAGCGUUGUCCGGAAUCAUUGGGCGUAAAGGGUACGUAGGCGGGUAAGCAAGUUAGAAGUGAAAUCCUAUUGCGCAACUAUAGUAAGCUUUUAAAACUGCUCAUCUUGAGGUAUGGAAGGGAAAGUGGAAUUCCUAGUGUAGCGGUGAAAUGCGCAGAUAAUAGGAGGAAUACCGGUGGCGAAGGCGACUUUCUGGCCAUAACCUGACGCUGAGGUACGAAAGCGUGGGUAGCAAACAGG
rnacentral:rRNA from 1 species